rnacentral:rRNA from 1 species
GACGAACGCUGGCGGCGUGCUUAACACAUGCAAGUCGAACGGUGAAGCGCCUUCCUUUUUGGUGGGUGUGGAUGAGUGGCGAACGGGUGAGUAACACGUGAGUAACCUGCCCCCUUCUUCUGGAUAACCGCAUGAAAGUGUGGCUAAUACGGGAUAUUCUGGGUCUGUGGCAUGAUGGGUCUGGGAAAGAUCUUGUUUCGGUGGGGGAUGGGCUCGCGGCCUAUCAGCUUGUUGGUGGGGUGAUGGCCUACCAAGGCGGUGACGGGUAGCCGGCCUGAGAGGGUGGACGGUCACACUGGGACUGAGACACGGCCCAGACUCCUACGGGAGGCAGCAGUGGGGAAUAGUGCACAGUGGGCGCAAGCCUGAUGCAGCGACGCCGCGUGAGGGAUGGAGGCCUUCGGGUUGUGAACCUCUUUCGCCAGUGAAGCAGGCCUGCCUCGUUUGUGGGUGGGUUGACGGUAGCUGGAUAAGAAGCGCUGGCUAACUACGUG